UACGGAAGGCAGCAGUGGGGAAUAUUGCACAAUGGGCGAAAGCCUGAUGCAGCUAUGCCGCGUGUAUGAAGAAGGCCUUAGGGUUGUAAAGUACUUUCAUCGGGGAGGAAAAACAAAACUAAUAAUUUUAAUUUCUUGACGUUACCCGAAAAAGAAGCACCGGCUAACUCCGUGCCAGCAGCCGCGGUAAUACGGAGGGUGCUAGCGUUAAUCAGAAUUACUGGGCGUAAAGAGCACGUAGGUGGUUUUUUUAAAGUCAGAUGUGAAAUCCCUGGGCUUAACCUAGGAACUGCAUUUUGAAACUGAAAUACUAGAGUAUCGUAGAGGGAGGUAGAAUUCUAGGUGUAGCGGUGAAAUGCGUAGAUAUCUGGAGGAAUACCUGUGGCGAAAGCGGCCUCCUAAACGAAUACUGACACUGAGGUGCGAAAGCGUGGGGAGCAAACAGGGAUUAGAUACC
rnacentral:rRNA from 1 species